UGGGGAAUAUUGCACAAUGGGGGAAACCCUGAUGCAGCGACGCCGCGUGAGCGAAGAAGGUUUUCGAAUCGUAAAGCUCUGUCCUAUGAGAAGAUAAUGACGGUACCAUAGGAGGAAGCCCCGGCUAAAUACGUGCCAGCAGCCGCGGUAAUACGUAUGGGGCGAGCGUUGUCCGGAAUUAUUGGGCGUAAAGGGUACGUAGGCGGUCUAUUAAGUUAGGUGUGAAAGCGUGAGGCUUAACCUCAUUAAGCACUUGAAACUGAUAGACUUGAGUGAAGGAGAGGAAAGUGGAAUUCCUAGUGUAGCGGUGAAAUGCGUAGAUAUUAGGAGGAAUACCGGUGGCGAAGGCGACUUUCUGGACUUUUACUGACGCUCAGGUACGAAAGCGUGGGGAGCAAACAGG
rnacentral:rRNA from 1 species